rnacentral:misc_RNA from 1 species
UGGUGGGCUACUUUCUCAAGAAAACCCAGAUAAAUAGCCAAAGUUCUUUGUCUGAACUUUGGUCUUUUGGAUUUUUUAAUUUAUUUUUCCCCCUUUUUCUUAAAUAUGGGUUGUAGUAGUGGUGGAGAAGAGAUUUGAGAGUGGCUAGUAUCUUUUCAAGCAAACCAACACAUCUCCUGGUAAUGGGAUAGAUCAUAAUAGAUGGAUGGCCAAAACCCUUGAUAACAGGAUUUGGGGGACCUCUAUUUGAAUGUCUUCUGAACAAAUGUGUUCAUGAUGUUAUUAAUGAUUGUUUGGAUCAAGGAAAUUUCACCCUUUUGUAUAUUUUCUUUUCUCAGUAGUAAAAGAAUGGUGAUGGAUGACUGGUUAUUUACGUUUAUUUCUACGUGUCUGUUAUGAGAGCCAACCAUCUUCUGCUUG